rnacentral:lncRNA from 1 species
UCAAAGAACUUGUAUACGCGUUAUAUUCCUUAAAAGGAAAAAGGCAUCGUUAGGGGCUUCGCUAAAACAUUAUCAGAGUUUGCAACGGAAGGCGUAACUGAAAUAAUCAGUGUUUACAGCGGAAUGCAUAACUGAGAUACAUGUAUGAAGACAUGUAUCCUUUCUGAGCCUACUUUAAGUUUGACAAAAACUCCACUCAGCAACAACACUUCAUCGCCCAUCACAGCUCAACCUGCACAAACAUAAACAUCGAAGGGCUAAGUACAAGAGUACUUAGUGGGCAGUUGCCAAGCAUAUAACAUAACAUCAUUAACAAUUUCACAAUAUCGCAUAAGAGGCAUGAGUUUCUUU